UUUGCCUAAACUUAGUCACAACACUAGCAUCAAAAUCAAAGCAGCCUUUUACUGUUGUUGCUUUUAAUGUCCCCUAUGGGCCUGGUGCAGGAAGGAGCUGUAGGGGCUUGGGCUGUGAGCAGAGACUGUGGUUUGCUGUGGGCUAAUGGCAGCCGUGAGGACCAUCAACUCUCUGUCAUAGUGAAAUGGUGCUUUGGCAGUUUUCAGGUGCAGAAGAGAAGCCAGUGGCUGUCAGAGUGUGAAGCGUGAAAUAAUUAAGCUUCUCCUCGCUUAGGCAGAGAUGGAUACAGAUGUGCUGGAAAAAGCUGGUUUGCCCUCCCCUGUGGCCUUCCUGUUGCUGUCCAACCAAGGGGGCUGCAGGCUUCUCUUAUUUCCUUGCCUCUCAGACCUUCUUCUUCCAGCCAAUAAAGAGGCCAUUACUUG